UUUUUUUUUAUUUUUUAUUAUAUAUCUAUAUUACUUUGGAAUUUUCUGAUGUAGAUGUUACUGUAUAUCAAUUGUUGUGACGCGUGUGUUAUAUUUCUGGGUGGGCUUUGAUGGAGUUGAGACAUCCAAGACUGUUCCCAUACUUGCUCCCCGUGUAAGUUCGUCUUUUGAUGAAGUGUUUUAGCGAUUGUAUGCAAAGAAAACCAUUGCUCAGCUGACUGAUAUACCUGACGAUGGAACUUUUAUUGGUAAUUUGGAAUGGGAAGUGAUUGUGUACAACUAAAGGAGGUGGGAUUAUUGUGGUAGUAUGAAUUGUUGAGAGGAGUUUCAUGUUGAGCCUAUUUGUCCACACCAGAUUUGUUUUGCUUAAUAAUCAUUCACUUUCACGAUUGUUGUCCUGAACAAAGCCUAGUUUACAAUCAAUGGUCAACCACACUCUACAAGUUAUAAUGUAUUUUGAGCACCAUCAUCAUUAUCAUAUAUCAGACAGUGUUUGUUUUCCAGCUUGGUGUUUGUUUCCCAGCUUAGGAUUUUCAGUAAAAAGUACAAAGGUAUACCAACUCAUUUCUUCAUCUUAUAUCUUUCAUUCUAGGGAAGUUUUUUUAGCUUUUAGAACUUUAAAAUCUGAUUUUUUUUUUGAGUUAUAAAGCUUUAUAAUCUUAAAAGCAUGUUACCUUAAAGUAUUACUUUGUUAAAAGCAGGUUACUUUUUCAAUAGGAUUUUAAAGAAGUUUUUGAACUUACAUAUCUGACCUUUUUGAAUCUAUGAAGCUGUAUUAGUUAGUUUAAAUCUCCAUGCCUUUUUACAACUUCGAAAACUGAACUCUUUUAACCGUGUAAAGUCUUGCUUGGUUUAAAGCUUCAUUUAUUUUUAAAGAGGGUUUUAAAGAGAAGAAGAAACUAACUAAUAUAGAAGAUGAGGUUAAAUUUGACACAAGUUUAAAGAUUGAUGAGACAUUUACGUGUAAUAGCUGCAAUCAAAAAACAUCUAUGGAGAAGCACCUUAUGCUUGAUAAAGCAACUUCAGCUACAACAUUUAAUUUUAAAAGGUUUACAAGAGGUGGAUAUACUGUCAAAUAAAUUUACAGUCAUGUUAGUUUCUCUUAGGAUUUGGAUUUUGACUCAUUUUUUAUGUAACACCUACUUCUCAUACAUUAUCUAUAUGCAGUUAUUGAGCAUAUAUGAUAUACACCUAAUUCAUGACAUUACUUUUGCUCUGUACAUUCUACUCUAGAAAUGACAUUUGAUGUAUGAUGACUCUUUGGUAAAAUAUAAUGGAAAAUUCUUUUUAUAGCUUAGCUUAA